UAUAUACUCCCUCCGUUUGGAAUUACUUGUCGUAGAAAUGGAUGUAUCUAGAUGUAUUUUAGUUCUAGAUACAUCCAUUUUCGAGACAAGUAAUUCCGAACGGAGGGAGUAGAUG
rnacentral:pre_miRNA from 1 species